rnacentral:lncRNA from 1 species
UGACCCCACGGUUCAAGGGUCCAUGCUUCUAAAUGUCUGCCCUCAGUGUUCUACCUGGCUGAGAUGCUCCAAUGACGCCCGAGAUGAGAGCAGCCUGGCGUAGCUGCUACAACUGGGGGAUUCUCGGUUCUUUCUGGACACCGGUGUCUCAAGUUCCAAGGCCAGCUCUUCUGAGGCGAAGGUGGACCCCUCUCUGAGUCCCACACUGAAGUAGGCUUUUGUAGCCUGGAAACAUCCAAAGCAACAGAAGAACAUUCUACCCAGGGAAUAGUUGCAAUGGCUUGAGAAGACUACUUCCAAGUUCUCACAGCCUUGACCCCACCUGUGGUCAAGCCGUAUACAAUAAACGACAGAACAGUUGGACAAUCUGCAACUCGCUGAUUACAAAAGAAAAAAAAGAAAAGGAAAAUGUACCGUGAAGUUUGGAAUGCUGCAGUGGUAGCCAGAGGAUCUCUAGUAGAGCCGUUUCCUUAGGGUAGAGCUAUAGGGUAGAGCAAGAGUCCGACUCCUGAUUCUCUGGGCAUGGAUACCAAAUGUCCUCCCCUGCCAAAUAGGUAGCUCAGCUAAAAAUUCCAGAAAACUGGUCCUUCUAUAGCUUGUCUCCUUACACUGCGGAUUCCAGCGCUUCAAAGCUUCCAGCCUAAUCCUGCUUCUUGGAUUAAGUGUUAGCUGCAGGCUCCUCUCUGGGUGGCCUGCCUCAGCCAGACAACUACUUUUAGGAUCAAAAUGAUAAUAUUUUGGUUUUGGUUAGUCCAUCUCAACCUCCCAAAGCAAGCCAAGGAGUGAACGAAGAGAGAACAAUCAACAGUUUGGUCCAAAGCCUGAUGUCGAGUAGUACAGACCCU